UUACGAUUAUAUCACAUUGAAACGCCGCUGCUCAAACGAUCACCGAAGUUAAGCAACGUCGAGCCUGGGCAUUACCUACAUGGGUGAUUGCUUGGGAAUACCAGCUGCUGUAA